rnacentral:rRNA from 1 species
AGAGUUUGAUCCUGGCUCAGGACGAACGCUGGCGGCGCGCCUAACACAUGCAAGUCGAACGGAGCUGAGAGGAGCUUGCUUUCCUUAGCUUAGUGGCGAACGGGUGAGUAACGCGUGAGUAACCUGCCCUGGAGUGGGGGACAACAGUUGGAAACGACUGCUAAUACCGCAUAAGCCCACGGAUCCGCAUGGAUCUGCGGGAAAAGGAUUUAUUCGCUUCAGGAUGGACUCGCGUCCAAUUAGCUAGUUGGUGAGGUAACGGCCACCAAGGCGACGAUUGGUAGCCGGACUGAGAGGUUGAACGGCCACAUUGGGACUGAGACACGGCCCAGACUCCUACGGGAGGCA